rnacentral:rRNA from 1 species
UACGUAGGGUGCAAGCGUUAAUCGGAAUUACUGGGCGUAAAGCGUGCGCAGGCGGUUUUGUAAGUCUGACGUGAAAUCCCCGGGCUCAACCUGGGAAUUGCGUUGGAGACUGCAAGGCUAGAAUCUGGCAGAGGGGGGUAGAAUUCCAGGUGUAGCAGUGAAAUGCGUAGAGAUGUGGAGGAACACCGAUGGCGAAGGCAGCCCCCUGGGUCAAGAUUGACGCUCAUGCACGAAAGCGUGGGGAGCAAACAGG